GAACGCUGGCGGCGUGCCUAAUACAUGCAAGUCGAACGCACAGCGAAAGGUGCUUGCACCUUUCAAGUGAGUGGCGAACGGGUGAGUAACACGUGGACAACCUGCCUCAAGGCUGGGGAUAACAUUUGGAAACAGAUGCUAAUACCGAAUGAAACUUAGUGUCGCAUGACACUAAGUUAAAAGGCGCUUUGGCGUCACCUAGAGAUGGAUCCGCGGUGCAUUAGUUAGUUGGUGGGGUAAAGGCCUACCAAGACAAUGAUGCAUAGCCGAGUUGAGAGACUGAUCGGCCACAUUGGGACUGAGACACGGCCCAAACUCCUACGGGAGGCUGCAGUAGGGAAUCUUCCACAAUGGGCGAAAGCCUGAUGGAGCAACGCCGCGUGUGUGAUGAAGGCUUUCGGGUCGUAAAGCACUGUUGUAUGGGAAGAACAGCUAGAAUAGGGAAUGAUUUUAGUUUGACGGUACCAUACCAGAAAGGGACGGCUAAAUACGUGCCAGCAGCCGCGGUAAUACGUAUGUCCCGAGCGUUAUCCGGAUUUAUUGGGCGUAAAGCGAGCGCAGACGGUUUAUUAAGUCUGAUGUGAAAGCCCGGAGCUCAACUCCGGAAUGGCAUUGGAAACUGGUUAACUUGAGUGCAGUAGAGGUAAGUGGAACUCCAUGUGUAGCGGUGGAAUGCGUAGAUAUAUGGAAGAACACCAGUGGCGAAGGCGGCUUACUGGACUGCAACUGACGUUGAGGCUCGAAAGUGUGGGUAGCAAACAGGAUUAGAUACCCUGGUAGUCCACACCGUAAACGAUGAACACUAGGUGUUAGGAGGUUUCCGCCUCUUAGUGCCGAAGCUAACGCAUUAAGUGUUCCGCCUGGGGAGUACGACCGCAAGGUUGAAACUCAAAGGAAUUGACGGGGACCCGCACAAGCGGUGGAGCAUGUGGUUUAAUUCGAAGCAACGCGAAGAACCUUACCAGGUCUUGACAUCCUUUGAAGCUUUUAGAGAUAGAAGUGUUCUCUUCGGAGACAAAGUGACAGGUGGUGCAUGGUCGUCGUCAGCUCGUGUCGUGAGAUGUUGGGUUAAGUCCCGCAACGAGCGCAACCCUUAUUGUUAGUUGCCAGCAUUCAGAUGGGCACUCUAGCGAGACUGCCGGUGACAAACCGGAGGAAGGCGGGGACGACGUCAGAUCAUCAUGCCCCUUAUGACCUGGGCUACACACGUGCUACAAUGGCGUAUACAACGAGUUGCCAACCCGCGAGGGUGAGCUAAUCUCUUAAAGUACGUCUCAGUUCGGAUUGUAGUCUGCAACUCGACUACAUGAAGUCGGAAUCGCUAGUAAUCGCGGAUCAGCACGCCGCGGUGAAUACGUUCCCGGGUCUUGUACACACCGCCCGUCACACCAUGGGAGUUUGUAAUGCCCAAAGCCGGUGGCCUAACCUUUUAGGAAGGAGCCGUCUAAGGCAGGACAGAUGACU
rnacentral:rRNA from 1 species